rnacentral:rRNA from 1 species
CACGUAGGGUGCGAGCGUUUGUCCGGAAUUAUUGGGCGUAAAGAGCUCGUAGGCGGUGUGUCGCGUCGGCCCGUGAAAACCUGCAGCUUAACUGUGGGCUUGCGGUCGAUACGGGCAUCACUGGAGUUCGGCAGGGGAGACUGGAAUUCCUGGUGUAGCGGUGGAAUGCGCAGAUAUCAGGAGGGAACACCGGUGGGCGAAGGCGGGUCUCUGGGCAGU